rnacentral:lncRNA from 1 species
UUCCUAACAAGCAUCCAGAUGUGGCUGCUGCUGGUGGUCUAUGAGCUACAUUUUUGUGGCAAGGCUCUAAAAUCCCCCUGCUAGGCAAGAGAGCCUGGUGCCCUGCCCUGUAUCCUCCCAGCCAGUUCAGAGGGCCUGACCCAAGGCUCUUGUGUGGCAGAAAUAGAGGAACUGACUGAGGCCAAGUCAGAGCAAAGAAACCUGCCUUCUGAGAUGGGCUGAGUGCUGAAGGAAGGGAAGAAGUAUCUCAUCUUGAGAAACUCAAAAUUUGCCUCUGUCUCCUGCAGUCAAGUGACUUCCACCUUGUGGGUCUGGCAGCACUCUGGCCUGUGAAGCUGAACUUUUCCAGGCUCAUCGAAUUUCUUGUGUGGAGAAGGUGAGAAAACAGAAGCUCUGAAGUUAAUCCGUCCCCCAAGACUGAUGCUGGAGAAGAGCAAGUGAAACAAGUGUCCUGAUGUCCAGAGGAUAAAUGGUAUCCAGAGACAAUGCACUCUGUUCCAGUCCUCUCCCCCUAUCUGGGUUUGAUAAUUGCUGAGAAAUGAUAAAUACAUAAUUGGAACACUCUUACAUACUCCAUGCACAACAGAUAAAGUUAGUUACUAACAGUAAAGUUAGUAACUUAGGACAAAAUUGGAAUAGAAACAUUCUCUGGCAACUGUUACCCCUUCUCAUUAGUUGGUGCCUAGAGGAUAUGUAUACUUCUUAAUUCCAGCUUUGCCUUACCUCUGAGCAGACAGGAAUGACCAAGAGGUAAU